rnacentral:rRNA from 1 species
AUGAUCAUUUUACAUCACGAUAUCUUUUUCUUCCUCAUUCUUAUUUUGGUUUUCGUAUCACGGAUGUUGGUUCGCGCUUUAUGGCAUUUCAACGAGCAAACUAAUCCAAUCCCACAAAGGAUUGAUCUCAAUGUUAUCGUCAUGACCAAUGCUCCUAACGAGGGUGACUUUCCCAUAGACCAACCUCCCGUUGGCGGACUACCAGACCUCCAGCAGGAAAUGGCGCACGCCGCCCAUCCCGAAGACAUUAUUGCGGAGUUGACUUCCAAGGUUGAAAGAAUAUUUCACGAAGUAGGCACUCCUCUUCCUUUAGAGGAG